rnacentral:tRNA from 1 species
GCCGGAUUGGCGGAAUGGUAGACGCGGCGCACUCAAAAUGCGCUGUCCGCGAGGGCGUGCGGGUUCGAGUCCCGCAUCCGGCA